AGCCUUAAAGACUCUUUGACGCAACAGUCCAGGUACCUAAGAUCAGUCAAGUCUUGCGUUGUACACGGGCGAUCCGAGUUGCCAAAAACUGCGUUCAGCUCAUCGAAUAACAAUUUCUUAACGAAAAAUUUUGGGGCCGGAUAUCUUGACAUGUUGUAAAGGAACCAUGUCAAACCUAAAGCAGACGUUUCGUGACCCUACGAGGACGGGCUGUUAAAGUCGGAUAUUUUUUCCCAACAAUUAAAUGUCUCCUUUAGGAUAAGGUCAAUGAAGCCUAAUUUCUUUCCUGAAAUAUUUAGGAAAUGAUUAAGCUUAUAUCUUACGACAGUUCCCGAUCAUUCUGAAUUACUUGGCGUAGUAUUACCCAUGUUACCAACUUCGCUAUUCGACGGACCAGAAGUCGAGCUAGGCAUACCUUAUUGCUGAUGUCACUGAUGCCACUAGCGAAUCGUGCAUCAUCCCGACCCAUCGCGGUGAAUUUAAACCAACUGCUUUUACACCAAGGUCGUGAGAUGCGGAACAGCUAUACGUGAAGUGAAUCAACAAUUUUGAAAAGUGCACUAACCCUUCACAAUUAAUCAACAAACUCUGCAUCUCUUUUUGUGAAAACGACUUGCACUCCAAGAUAGUUCCUUGUUAAAUAUGUUCGGGUAAUAACGUUAA